AUGAAAUACAAAAUCUUGAGGAAUAAAAGCUCUGUUUUUAACCAACCAUUAAUUAUUGCAGAAUUAUGUGCACCCAACUGAUCUGUAAAAGUUUUAAGUGAACUGCAUGGAAAACCCAAAAAUAGUACAUCGAAAAAAACCAACAACUGUCUGAGCAAGAAUCCAAACAUGUAUGGGUUAAUUUUCCUUCUAAAUCCAUAACAAUACUUUAAAAUGUCUUUUAAUGAUAAGCAGCAGCAUUCUGUUAACUUUUAAUAAGUCAUCACUUCCUUAUGCUUCACAGACUCUGCUAUGAAAGCUGAGGAUCCUUCAAAUCUGAAAAUAAGAGCAGAGUAACACUUUAUGGUUACCAGGCUCUUCAUUUUAUGAGGCUUAGUUGUUCAGAUUUUAAUGCAUUGCAUAUGAAUCUUUACUUCCUUCUAUGUAACAGACACUGCUUAGGUAAUAUUUAAGAUUCAUAAACGCGGUUUAACGCCCAGCCGAGCUGAGUUUGUGCGCGGAAACCUUGCAUUUUUCUUACACACCUACAGCUUCUCUUGAAAAGGAAAUAAAAGGUAUUAAUUUUCAAUAAGUGACUUAGGAUGGGGAUGAUCAUCCAAG